GCCAUUCGAUGUGAUCACUGUCACUGUCACAAAUAGUGCAAAGGCCGUGGUAGAAGUUGAACACAAACCCUUUUGAAAUUUCAAGGCUCUAUUUGGAGCAGACAAGACUUUUUUUUUCCUCAGUUCCUGCGGGAUUAUGGUGAAACUUAAUCAUCAAUUUUCAUCAUCCAAGAUGAAGUUCUUAUUUGGAACAAGAUGAACUUACUUAUUAACCUGCAAACUAAACAUGAACGUCAGCAUGCAUG
rnacentral:lncRNA from 1 species